GCCAGAGGUGCCAAGCGUUAGGCGGAAUCACUGGGCUUAAAGCGUGUGUAGGCGGACUGGUAAGUACCUUGUGAAAUCCCACGGCUCAACCGUGGAACUGCUUGGUAUACUGCUUUUCUUGAGCCACUUAGGGGCAACCGGAACAAACGGUGGAGCGGUGAAAUGCGUAGAUAUCGUUUGGAACGCCAAUGGUGAAAACAGGUUGCUGGGAGUGUGCUGACGCUGAGACACGAAGGCCAGGGGAGCAAACGGG
rnacentral:rRNA from 1 species